GACGAACGCUGGCGGCGCGCUUAACACAUGCAAGUCGAGCGAGAACCAGGGCUUCGGCCCUGGGGACAGCGGCGAACGGGUGAGUAACACGUGGAUAACCUGCCCUCGACACCGGGAUAGCCCGGGGAAACCCGGAUUAAUACCGGAUGGCCCUUCCGGCUUUCGAGCCGGUCGGAAAAGGUAGCUUCGGCCUCCGGCCGAGGAUGGGUCCGCGGCGGAUUAGCUUGUUGGUGGGGUAACGGCCUACCAAGGCUCCGAUCCGUAGCUGGUCUGAGAGGACGAUCAGCCACGCUGGGACGGAGACACGGCCCAGACUCCUACGGGAGGCAGCAGUGGGGAAUCUUGCGCAAUGGGCGAAAGCCUGACGCAGCGACGCCGCGUGAGGGAGGAAGGCCUUCGGGUUGUAAACCUCUUUCAGGAGGGACGAAGCUACUCGGGUGAAUAGCCCAGAGGGUGACGGUACCUCCAGAAGAAGCCCCGGCUAACUACGUGCCAGCCGCCGCAGUAAGAC
rnacentral:rRNA from 1 species